rnacentral:lncRNA from 1 species
CAACACAGGGCAGGGUAAGCAGAUAAUAGUGAGGAUGGUUUUCUGAAUACCAACUUUCCAAGGUUUUUAAGGCCAAGUUUGCAACUUGACCAGAUUUAUUUAUGGCCUCUGGAAAGAUGUACUACUUCUAGUGCUGACAGAGCUAAUCAAUGCCUCAGUGAAUUUGUCUACAUUGCAAAGUGAUACCUGGAGGACUUUCUGAGGCACAGACUUCCAAGUCAGAGAAUUUUUGAUGAUGUUCUUGAAGGAAAUAAAAGAGGGACUGUUCCAUCGGUCACGGAAACUGAGCAGCUGGGCACCUUCUUCCCCUCUUCAUCAUUGCCAAGGAAAUGAAAAGACCAAGUUUUUAAGUACACUGCACGAAGCUAUUCUUUCUGGCUCUGGAUUCAGCUCAAGCCCACUCCAUUCUUGAGCAGAAGAAUGUCAGGCCCUGCCUUUGAGGCACAUGUAGAAUGCUUACAGAUCUCAACAAGAAAUGGGAUGUUUUUCUGCUAUCACCUGAAGCUGCUGUGGCCAUAAAACUAAUAAAUCACUAGAAAAUCUCCUUGCCCA